rnacentral:rRNA from 1 species
CCCACAGGCCGUACACCCAAGGUUUCCAGGGGAAGGUUCGUCCGCCCUGGGUUAGUCGGGACCUAAGCUGAGGCCGAAAGGCGUAGGUGAUGGACAACAGGUUGAUAUUCCUGUACUACCGAUAACCGUUUGAGAGAAGGGAUGACACAGUAGGAUAAGCUAAGCACACUGUUGGUUAUGUGUGCCCAAGCAUUGAGGCAGUCAAAGUAGGCAAAUCCGCUUUGAUAAUGCUGGGAUGUGAUGGGGAGCGAAAUU